UGUACUCGUGUUGCGCGUGCACUCAGUGAACCAACAGAGUCGUGGAUGCAGUGUGAGCGGUAAGCCAGAGCUGCAAUUCGUUGAACAUGGGGUGCUAUUGUGAUGAUCUCAUGCCUCACGCUCUAUAGAGGUACCCACCAUUGAGACUUCUGGGAAACACUGCUCCGACCGGCUGGAGGUGUCGCCGUCGAUGAAAGAGCGCCAUGGAGAGGAGAGCUUUCGCCACUUCCUCCACCACGACAUUUCAAAGCAGUUGUUGCCUCCCCAUCGCUCAGUAGCACGAGCAGCGGUGGAAGCAGGACCAUGCCGUCUUGGACCAGGUCGCGUCCCCAGAAGUGGACAAUGAAGGCCUUUGACAAGUGUGCUCUCUCUCUCUCUCCACCGCUGCUGGAUCCAAGUCGCUCGACAAAAUGUCGCUAUGUUUCCAUGAAAUGCAAACUGCGGCGGAUGACCACACUCCCAUAGAGACAAGCGAACACGCUAGGACCGAAUUUGCAUACACUGCAC